rnacentral:rRNA from 1 species
AUUGAACGCUGGCGGCAGGCCUAACACAUGCAAGUCGAGCGAGCGGCGGACGGGUGAGUAAUGUCUGGGAAACUGCCUGAUGGAGGGGGAUAACUACUGGAAACGGUAGCUCAUACCGCAUACCAUCAGAUGUGCCCAGAUGGGAUUAGCUAGUAGGUGGGGUAACGGCUCACCCAGGCGACGAUCCCUAACUGGUCUGAGAGGAUGACCAGCGCAAGUGGAAAUGAGACAAGGUCCAGACUCCGACGGGGGGGAGCAGUGGGGAAUAUUGGAAAAUGGGGGAAAGCCUGAUGCAGCCAUGCCGCGUGUGGGAAGAAGGCCUUCGGGUUGUAAAGGACUUUCAGCGGGGAGGCGUUACCCGCAGAAGAAGCACCGGCUAACUCCGUGCCAGCAGCCGCGGUAAUUC